rnacentral:rRNA from 1 species
AGAGUUUGAUCCUGGCUCAGGACGAACGCUGGCGGCGUGCUUAACACAUGCAAGUCGAACGCGAAUGGGGGGCAACCCCCUAGUAGAGUGGCGCACGGGUGAGUAACACGUGGGUAAUCUACCUCUGGGUGGGGUAUAACAAUUCGAAAGGAUUGCUAAUCCCGCAUAAGACCACGGUCCCCUCGGGGGCUGGGGCCAAAGCAGCAAUGCGCCUGGAGACGAGCCCGCGGCCCAUCAGCUAGUUGGCGGGGUAAUGGCCCACCAAGGCUUUGACGGGUAGCUGGUCUGAGAGGACGACCAGCCACACUGGGACUGGAACACGGCCCAGACUCCUACGGGAGGCAGCRGUGAGGAAUAUUGGACAAUGGGCGAAAGCCUGAUCCAGCAACGCCGCGUGGGUGAUGAAGGCCUUCGGGUUGUAAAGCCCUGUCGGGAGGGAAGAGUAAGGACGGUACCUCCUAAGGAAGCACCGGCUAACUCCGUGCCAGCAGCCGCGGUAAUACGGAGGGUGCAAGCGUUGUCCGGAAUCACUGGGCGUAAAGCAGGUGCAGGCGGCUUGUUAUGUCGGGUGUGAAAUCCCAAGGCUUAACCUUGGAACUGCGCUCGAAACUGGCAAGCUUGAGUACGGUAGGGGAUGGUGGAAUUCUGGGUGUAGAGGUGAAAUUCGUAGAUAUCCAGAAGAAUACCGGUGGCGAAGGCGACCAUCUGGCCCGUUACUGACGCUCAGACCUGAAAGCGUGGGGAGCAAACAGAAUUAGAUACCCUGGUAGUCC